rnacentral:rRNA from 1 species
GUGGGGAAUAUUGCACAAUGGGCGAAAGCCUGAUGCAGCAACGCCGCGUGAAGGAAGAAGGCCCUUGGGUCGUAAACUUCUGUUCUAAGGGAAGAUAAUGACGGUACCUUAGGAGCAAGUCCCGGCUAACUACGUGCCAGCAGCCGCGGUAAUACGUAGGGGGCGAGCGUUAUCCGGAAUUAUUGGGCGUAAAGAGUACGUAGGUGGUUAUCUAAGCGAGGGGUUUAAGGCAAUAGCUCAACUAUUGUUUGCCCCGCGAACUGGGUGACUUGAGUGCUGGAGAGGAAAGCGGAAUUCCUAGUGUAGCGGUGAAAUGCGUAGAUAUUAGGAGGAACAUCAGUGGCGAAGGCGGCUUUCUGGACAGUAACUGACACUGAGGUACGAAAGUGUGGGGAGCAAACAGGAUUAGAAACCCUAGUAGUCC